rnacentral:rRNA from 1 species
UACGUAGGGGGCAAGCGUUGUCCGGAUUUAUUGGGCGUAAAGAGCUCGUAGGCGGUUCGGUAAGUCGGGUGUGAAAACUCUGGGCUCAACCCAGAGCCGCCACCCGAUACUGCUGUGACUCGAGUGCGGUAGGGGAGCGGGGAAUUCCUGGUGUAGCGGUGAAAUGCGCAGAUAUCGGGAAGAACACCCGUGGCGAAGGCGGCUCUCUGGGACGGUACUGACGCUGAGACGCGAAAGCGUGGGGAGCGAACAGG